AACUGGAAAACGUUAGAGGAAUCAGUUCUAAACGUCGUACGAUACCGGUGUGGUACGUGAAAGUAAUUUUCUUCUAAGUUGUAAUAUUUUCGUACACGUUAUUUUUGUCUGAUCGUUGAUCGUUUUUCGUAUCGCGAAUGGUGUUGAAAAUUUUUUUAUCGUAUUGUGAUGUGAAAAUUUGCGCGUUUUUCCGUCAAAAUAAUAUUCCAUGUAGAAUUUUUUCAAAUAAUCUAUGAGGCGGUUUUCGUCGAUUUGUGUGUUGCGUUUUCGAUUUUUUUUUAAUGCAGUUUUUCGCAAUUAAUUUUUCUUUUAUUUUUUCACCGUGUUUUUUCCCCCUUAAUUCAUGUAUGAAGUAAUUUCGUGAUUAAAACCAUGGUUAAGUGUCGCAUAUGUAUCGUGCUAUGAAGUGAAUUUUUUUAUUUUUUUAAAGAUCGUUGUAUUAUUGUGUUGCGUUGGACUACCGAAGGUCCAUCAUGUCUCACGUAAUAGUGCUGUUUGUGUCGCUGAUAUUGGCCGGAUGGUGUUCGUCUUCAUUAUUUUUGGUUUCGGCUAAAUACCAUACACCGGAGUCAUGUACGUGGGAGGCGACCAAUAACGAAACGAGUAAAAUGGCUGUUACCUGUCGUCUGCGAACUUUGACAUCGGAAAGUACAACUUUAUCGUCGAUCCAGUCCGAGGGUACGGUGCGGCUGAAUCUCGAAUGUAACGAUAUGUUAUUUUUCGAGAGCGUCAUGACGCCGAAAAUAUUCCAUUUUUUACACCAGCUCGAAACGCUGUCGGUGACCAGUUGUAAAAUUUUGGAGCUACCGGUGGACGCGUUCGACGGUUUGAGGGAUUUGAAAAAGCUGAAUAUCCACACGCGGAAUCGGGAUUGGUCACCGGCCAAAAGUAUGGAGUUGGUUCCUGGCAGUUUCGAUGGUCUGAAGGAACUGCAGUCGCUGAAUUUAUCCGAUAACAAUAUCCAAUCGAUACCGGAAGAUGUGUUUUGUUCGCUGGUCAAUCUGCAGAGUUUGAAUUUAUCUCGAAAUAAUCUACGGUCGAUGGAAUCGUUGGGAUUGAUCGCCCGUCGUACGAGUUCCGAUCCCGAUCAGUCGACUAGAAUCGAGUGUAGCGGCGGCGCCGACAUCAAAACGCUCGAUUUAUCCGGUAAUCAUUUCAAAACGCUGAGGCAGUAUUCGGGAUUAACGAAAUUGCGUCGAUUACAAAACCUAUAUUUACAAGAUAACGAAUUAACCGAUAUAGCGGCCGAUUCUUUGACGUUUUUAACAUCGCUCCGGGUAUUAAACCUAUCGAAUAAUCAUUUGGAAAGCCUACCCGAAGGUUUAUUUUCCAAUAAUAAAGAAAUACGCGAAAUAUACUUACAAAACAACGGACUGUAUAUGUUAUCGAAUCGUUUAUUCAGCCGGCUCGAGCAAUUGGUUAUAUUGAAUUUAUCCAAUAAUAAAAUUAGCCAAAUUGACGAAGAUCCGUUCGUAGGUCUGAUUCGUUUAGUUGUGCUGGAUUUAUCGCGAAAUUCGCUCACUCACAUCAAGAGUAAAUUCUUCAAAGAUUUGUUAUUUUUACAAAUACUCGAUUUACGUAACAACAGUAUCGGUUUCAUCGAAGAUAACGCAUUUCUACCGUUGUACAAUUUGCAUACGUUGAAUUUAGCCGAAAACCGACUGCAUCAAAUAUCGGCUAAUUUAUUCAACGGUUUGUUCGUAUUGUCCAAGUUAACCCUGAGUAAUAAUUUAAUCGUCAACGUGCACGCUCAAGCUUUUAAAAAUUGUUCGGCGUUAAAAGAGCUCGAUAUGAGUUCGAAUGCUAUCAACGAAGUUCCGGUCGCGUUGACUGAAUUAUCAUUUCUGCGUACUUUGGAUCUCGGUGAAAAUCAAAUCAGCACUUUACGAAACGGUUCGUUUAAAAAUCUAGAACUGUUGACCGGUUUGCGUUUGGUCGACAACGGUAUUGGCAACUUGACCGAAGGUAUGUUCUGGGAUUUGCAGAAUUUACAAGUGUUGAAUUUAUCGAAAAAUAAAAUUCAACAUAUCGCUCACGGUACGUUUACUCGUAACGAACAAAUUCAAGCUAUACGUCUGGACGCUAACUUUUUAACCGAUAUCAACGGCGUGUUCGUAUCGUUGGCUAAUCUACUGUGGUUGAAUUUAUCCAACAAUCAUCUGGUGUGGUUCGAUUACGCGAUGGUUCCUCGUUCGUUGAAAUGGCUCGAUAUCCACGGUAACUACAUCGAGAACCUCGGCAACUACUACGGUCUUCAAGAAGAGCUAAAUAUUCAAACUCUGGACGCUAGUCAUAACCGUAUCAGCGAAGUUAGUGAUUUAUCGAUCCCGAACAGCGUCGAAUUGGUUUUCAUAAAUAAUAAUUUCAUCAACAACGUCAAAGUGAAUACAUUUCUGGAGAAAUCCAAUUUAGCCAGAGUAGACAUGUACGCUAACGAGAUCACCAAAUUGGACAUCAACGCUAUGCGACUGAAUCCAGUUCCGUCGAAUCGUUCGUUACCCGAAUUCUACAUCGGUGGAAAUCCGUUCGAUUGCGAUUGUUCGAUGGACUGGUUACCGUUGAUUAAUAACAUGACGCAGCUCCGUCAGCACCCCAAAGUGAUGGAUUUGGAGAACGUCAUGUGUAAAAUUUCGCAUUCUCGAGGCACACAGCUCGUCUCGGCGACCUCGGUGUCACCGGCUCAGUUUUUAUGCCGAUACGAAACUCAUUGUUUUACCGUCUGUAAAUGCUGCGAUUUCGACGCUUGCGAUUGCGAAAUGACUUGCCCUUCUAAUUGUACGUGUUAUCACGAUCAAACCUGGAAUACGAACGUGGUCGAUUGUUCGCGCCAAAGAAACGCUCAAGUACCGUCGCGUAUACCGAUGGAUGCUACGCACGUAUAUCUGGACGGAAACGAUUUUGGUGAACUUCAAGAUCACGUUUUCAUCGGUCGAAAAAAUAUGGUCAACUUGUAUCUGAACGAUAGCAAAAUAGAUUCGAUUCAGAAUUACACGUUUAACGGGCUAAACGCUCUGCAAGUGUUGCAUCUGGAGAACAAUCGACUAAAAGAAUUGAAAGGCUUCGAAUUCGAACAAUUGUCACAGUUGAAGGAAUUGUAUCUGCAGAAUAACGAGAUUUCAUUCAUCGGUAAUCUGACUUUUUUACCCCACAGAUAUCUACAGAUAUUACGCUUAGACGGUAACAAGCUGACGAAUUUUCCGGUUUGGCAGCUCCAGUUGAAUUCGUACUUGGUCGAGGUAUCGCUGGGUAAUAAUCGUUGGCAAUGCAAGUGUAAAUUUUUCCAAGAGUUUCGUGCCUGGGUCGUCGACAAUCGUCAUAAGGUACUCGAUCAUAAAGAUAUACCUUGCUAUAUUGACGAUGGUCACGUGGCCGAGAAAAGAUACGUCGAUAUGAACAACACCGUCUGCAACGAUUACAUGUCCAGUAGUUGGGCCCUGCACAGUUUAAUGGUAUCCGAUUAUUUCCCCGUCGUCGUGCUGCUCUUCUCCACCUUGGUCAUCUUCUUAGUCGUGCUCAUCAUCAUGUUCGUGUUUCGAGACCCGAUGCGAAUUUGGCUCUACACACGAUACGGUAUUCGUCUAUUUCAAUUCAAAGCAGCCACUGCCAAACAUUUCGAAGAAGAUCGAGAAAAAUUAUUCGACGGUUAUGUCGUCUAUAGCCCAAAAGACGAAGAAUUCGUACUACAAUCCAUCGUAGCCGAAUUAGAACACGGUAGCCCACCUUACCAUUUAUGUCUGCACUAUCGCGACUUACCACAUCACGGCGGUGUGACCAGUCCAUCGCCUUACCUUCAACAUGGCUCGGCUACGGUCGUAGUCGAGGCAGCAGCCGCUAGUCGUCGUGUCAUCUUAGUCCUGUCGAGGAACUUCCUGCAAACCGAAUGGUCCAGAUACGAAUUCCGUUCGGCCCUGCACGAGGCCCUUCGAGGGCGAAUGUUUAAACUGGUGCUGGUCGAAGACGGCGCCAUAUUACCAGAAGCUGAGCUCGACGGAGAGCUCAGACCGUACCUGAAAACCAACGCAAGGGUGCGUUGGGGCGAAAAACGUUUCUGGGAGAGGUUACGAUGCCUUAUGCCUCGCGAUUGCAAUAAAAAAACUUGCAAUUUGAAACGUAACGUUAAUAACUACACGUUAGAGUCGAUGUCGUCGAUAAGGUGUCAGAAUGGCGGAACACAUCAUCAUCGAGGGUACCCUCAGCCGCCUUCGCCGUCCGUUCAUCAACACAUUAAUAAUCACAUAUUCAAAGCGAGCGCUCCGCCGGAGUAUACCGUAUCCCGUACCAAUGCCAAAAUACAAAAUAAUUCUAGUUCGUCGGCCGGAUCCGGCUCCUGUUCGCAAGAAGAAGCCAAUUACUCGUCCGCAACGACAGCUACACCGUCGCCAAGACCACAUCAUCGGCAGGUCGCCUAUACCACGUCCGAAAGGCCCAACUCCGAUCAUAUUUAUUCAUCCAUCGAUACGCCCGAGUAUCUGGCUUCUUUCGAUAGAACCUCUACCACUGCCAGGCUUAACGAUAGUGCCAAUAUGCAUCAUUCGAAUUGGAGAAAUUCCCCUAAUGCUGUCGUAGACUCUGGUGGAGUUCAAGCGUAUCUCGUAUGAUCCUUUUAUAGAGAUUCGUGAUAUGUUUCAAGCACCAGUUUUAUUACUUUGGAUUCUCCAGAAGACUGCUUACCAAUAAACAGAUGUGAUAUAAUUGGAUAUAUUUCUGGCAAAUUUUUGUUGCACUCGAACACGGAUAAUUUAAACCAAAUUUUUUGUUUUGUUUUUAAUUUACACAUAAUCCUCGCAAAUAUUAAUUAUUAUAACGUCGAUCGUCUACUCGUAUCAGUAGUACCUUUACUCGUCGUAGCCAAAACAUGAAACACAAUUCUUUCAAAAUAGGGGCGUCUUCCAAAGUAUUCGUAUUGAAAUAUAAAAAAUUGUUACGUACAAUUUAACAUUGCGUUACGCAAGUUACCCAUUUUUUUUACGACUUCGUUAAUUUUUAUUUAUUAUUAUUUUAUUUCAUUUUUUUUUUUUUUGAAAAAAAAAACAUAAUUUGCUAUUCGAGCAAAAUAUUUGCGAGCAAAUUUUUCCUAUAUUAGAUUAAGUGUUAUGCAAUUACCGAACUGAUAAAAUUACCUUGUGAUAUGUAGCAUAAAAUACUUAUUGUUGUAAAUGAUUUUUAUUUAUUUGUAUUAUCGAACUUUAUCCUAUUUGCAUUUUCUAAUUCGUUGCAUUUUCGAUUUCCUUUAUAAUUUAUUUUUUUUUUGUUUGAUUGUUAUUUAUAUAGUGUAUUACUCGUGCCACGUACAUACGUAUUUUUUUUUCUUUUUGUAGAAUGUGCAACGCGUUCAUGCUAAUCAUUAUUAUUUGAACCGUCUUUCAUUUCUCGUUGGAUUUUUUUUUUAAGGGGCAGUCGCAGUGAAAUUUCUACUUGUACGGCUUGGAUGGUUUUUUAUGUUGCUCAUAACUUUCAUGCGUAUAGAUUUACAUUCAAACCACUAUUUUUACCACUAUGUUCGCUUUUGUUUAAUUCCAUCACGAGCGUUUAAGUCAUUGUGUUAAUUUUAAAAUAUGCUUAGUAGGCAAUAAGAUAGGUCAGAUGUGAAAUUUAUUGAAACGAUUUUUCGUGACUUGGCCAGUCGUUAUGUGCUUUAAUUGAUACGUUUGAAUGGACCAUACCGUACGUAAUUCUUUCCAAAUUACUAUACCAGUUAGAGAAAAAGUGCCUAUAACCUAUGAACUGUGUGUAACUUUUAUUUUCUUUUCGAUUGUUUUCUCAGGUUGGAAUUUUUUUGGCGGGAAUUUUAAAAUAAAUUGGUAAAUGUUUAGGAUUGAAAUUAGGUACGAAUAUAAAGUUUGUAGUCGACGAUGUAAAAAAAAAUCCUUUUGGAACUAAAAUAGGUAUAAUCAGAUUCGUGUGAUCAGAAUAAAUCCAUCUCGUUGACGAGUUUGUUGUGUUUUGAUUACUUUGAUAUUUUUAUUAACUCGAUUUAGGAGAGAGAAAAAACGACCAGAAUCUAGACCUAAUCGAUGAUUUGAUAAAAACGAUGUACCGAUUAAAAAAUUACACCGAAAGUGGGAAAGUUUUACGACGAACAAAUUUACUAGGUUUGAAUUGCAGAUGACUCUGGUGGGUUGAAAAUGCGAUAUAAAUUUUAGGAAAGCCUACAUCUGGCACGUUUAAUGGGAACGGAUACGACGAUAUAACGUUACAUUUUUGGUAACAUUGUAAUUAAAUUUGCAGCCGAGUUAGAAGCGUUAAGUUGAAAAUUGGGAUACAAUCGAAUAUAUUAGUUUUGGGUCGAGUUGUUCUAAUGUGUAUUCGCUCCGUAUGCAGACAAUUAUAACGACUGGUUGAUAACCUAUGGCAAAGUCACGAGAAAUAUUCGAUUUUUUGGCCAUUCAACUCGUAAUAUAUUCCACGCUGAUGGAUUCGUAAUUUUUACAAUCAUAAUGCAUUCUUUUAUGGCGAACCAUAUGUUACAUAUACCUACCUAAUAUGUAAUGAAUCGAAAUAUCUUCUUUUUCUAUCUCUAUCUGCCUUUUAUUAUUUUUUCGUUCCAAGUUCCUGCGGAAUAUAAAUACACUACCAUAAAAUUCUUCUGAUGGACCAUUUAUAAUAAACAAAAAAAAACCUGUUCAUUCUCUCGCGGUAAUUAGAUCAACGAUAUGUGGAUUCAUAUCGACAGAAUAUGUAUAACAUGUAAUGAUGUAUCAUUCAAAUCUCGGCUUAAAUGUUCCUAAUACCUGUAUUCGUCCAAAUUAAGUAGUUGUCCUAUCGGUCCUCUUGCCACGAGUCAUUUUUCAGUCUUAGUAUUUUACAUAUCGGAUUAAUUUAUCGAUAGAUACCGUCUGGCUGAGUUCAUUUUACUCCAUCUCUAUACCUAUUCAUCUUUUUGACUUAUAUAAUUCCAGUAGUGUAAUUCCAGUUCAUUUUUUUUCUACUUUGCAUUUCGUUUGUUUGUUUGUUUGUUCUUUCGUUUGUUUUUUAAUAUAUUUAUUUAAAUCGGUUUCCAACGAAUAAUUUUUUUUAUAGAUUACGGUUAUAUUAAGGCUAGUCAUUGACUUAUUUAUUUCUACGUGCUUAUUUUUUAUAUUUAUUCUCGAAUAUGUUUUUUUUCUCUUUUUGUACCUAUGUGUAUAGACGAAAAGAAUUGUAUAUGAAUUUGUAUAAAUGUAAAGCUUUGUAUUAUGCGAUGAAUUUUACAAAAUAAAACUAAUUUUUAUUUAUUA